AUGCGUAGCAGCCCCCAUUCUUUAUACACUACACUUUUUGGCAAACGAAUUAAACUUCUUUAUUCAGAAUUCGAUCUGACUGAGAGAGUGAGUGGUCUCUUCACUGGGCCUGGCCAAAGGCCCAACAGUGUUUUGAGGGAGGCCGAAGGCAACGGUGUUUUGAGGGAGGCCGAAGGCCCAACUUACUUUACUUACUUCUAUCUUCAUGCUUGUCAAUGUCUCGAAAAAAUAAAUCUUCAUGCUUUGGCUGCCGAUUGCUGCACCUCGCCGGCCCGCUUCGGCGCCGGCAGUGCCGCCGUCGCCCUCCCCCGCCACCGCGCGGCUUUGGAGCACCCCCUACCAAAACACGAGACCGUUCCGCCCGGCACCACCUCGCCGCCCACCACCGCCCCGCACGAGCGCCCAUUCCCCAACCCUCGUCGGGGCCGCCGGUCGACAGACCAACCACGGCUAGGAGUCUCUGGGAAAGCCAAGGCGAUCAACUUGGAAGAAGCACUUUGGUUGGUGCCAGUUCGCUGUCCUCGUGGUCGAUGGCCAACACUCUGUCUUCAUGGUUCAGCGGCACCUGUGACUGAUGCCGUCGGCUGUGUUACUGAGAUAUCCUAA
rnacentral:rRNA from 1 species